rnacentral:misc_RNA from 1 species
AUCAACAUUUCCACUGUACUGAAAGCACAUAAACUGCUCCUCAACUGUAUGUAAUUUCAAUCCAGAUUGCUGAGCCACAAUCUUACUCAUCAUUGACUCAUAAACUGUCUCGGGAAGAUAUGCCAAGGUGGUGCCACUGUCAAUUAUUGUUCCUUUCCGAUCUCCAGUUUGAAAUAUAUCUGUUGGAAGUUCCAGAACAUUACCGCCCACCUCUAUUUCCUUCAUAACAACAUUGUAAUGUGGCUGAUUUGCUACCAUUGGAGUUGUAUUUACUUUUGGUGAGACUACCUCCCCAAUGGCAAAGAUUCCACCUCCAUUUACAUUGUCCAGGCAAUGUGCAAACAUUUUUUUAACCUUUCCUGCUGCAGCAAGUUGUGAAAUCAUAGAUGAGUUUGCUUGUCCAAAACCAAGUAUUCCAUCCAGAGCUUCACUGGAUGUACCCAACUCUCCUGAUUGUUUAGCUCCACACCCAAAUACAACACUUCCAUUUGCUGAUGCUGUUUGAAGAUUUCCAGUCACUCUUUCAAACUGCAAAUUGUCCCUCAC